rnacentral:lncRNA from 1 species
CAUUAUUCAUUCAAUGGUCUCAUUCACACUUGAUCACAAUAAGACAAGAAACUACUAAGGGGAAGGGCGACUACAUGGGCAUGCAUUAGCGGCAGAAGAUUUCGUGAAUUAUUGAAUAAACCGGAAGCUUUAUGAACUCCUUUAAGUUUUUUUUCCUGUAAUGUAUGUUUUUAGACUUGGCAUACAAGUUUGUUCUUAAACACAUUCCGCAAACAAAGUUUCCUGUGCUAUGCACGCCUUAAAUUUUGUGUGGCUGGCUUAUGGUACAAGCUCUUAUGACGUUUUGUAUGGCUUCUCUUACAUUGUCUUUUGGCUAAUCACCUUUUAUCCAUGCAUAAACAUUUUUCCCGAACGCACCACAAAAUGAAGGACACUAACUGUUGGUCAUGCCGUGCAUCGCACGGGCCUACCCUCUAG